rnacentral:rRNA from 1 species
CAGUAGCCGCGGGAAUACGGAGGGGGCUAGCGUUGUUCGGAAUUACUGGGCGUAAAGCGCACGUAAGCGGCUUGGUAAGUUAGAGGUGAAAGCCUGGAGCUCAACUCCAGAAUUGCCUUUAAGACUGCCGAGCUAGCAGGUGAGAGAGGUAAGUGGAAUUCCGAGUGUAGAGGUGAAAUUCGUAGAUAUUCGGAAGAACACCAGUGGCGAAGGCGGCUUACUGGCUCAUACUGGACGCUGAGGUGCGAGAGCGUGGGGAGCAAACAGGAUUAGAGACCCCUGUAGUCCCUGUCUCUUAUAC